UACGGAGGAUGCAAGCGUUAUCCGGAAUGAUUGGGCGUAAGGCGUCCGCAGGUGGCUAUGUAAGUCUGCUGUUAAAGAGUGAGGCUCAACCUCAUAAGAGCAGUGGAAACUACAUGGCUAGAGUGCGUUCGGGGCAGAGGGAAUUCCUGGUGUAGCGGUGAAAUGCGUAGAGAUCAGGAAGAACACCGGUGGCGAAAGCGGCCGCCUGGACCUGACCUGACGCUGAGGCGCGAAGGCGUGGGGAGCGAACGGG
rnacentral:rRNA from 1 species